rnacentral:lncRNA from 1 species
UCAUCUCUAAACUUUUUGGAAAGUAGUGAAGAGUAAAAUAUAGACAGAAGAGAAGUACAUGAGAAAUAUUUCAGAAGAAAGAAGAGUGCUUUUCCUCCCUGGUGAAAAUGGAGCCACUUUGUAAACCAGGUGAACUGGAGAUGUAACGACUUCCUUUUUUGUCUUGGAAGAUUCCUAAAUGUCAUUGAGAGACCCAAGACGUCUCAAUCUCACUUAAUGCAAACGGAAAACCAAGGGUUUUUAAAGGUGAAAUGGAUCUUGCUAAUGAAGAAGUAUCACUCUUCGUGGGGCAUGCAGCUUGUUAGUUCAAGUUAGAAUUCUGGGCAGUAGGCGUGUGCCAAGCUGCAAGACUUUUUCUCCUCCUAAAUGAAUCGUGCAGUAAAUUGGGCAUUUGGAUCUUUCCCUUGUGAAGCUAUCUCACAAGUUUGACUGUUGACAUCUUGGGAAACAGUAUCCUACUGGAUAUGGUUGGAGACACCCUGCUUUGGAGAGAUGAUGAUGAGUAUGAAUAUAGUAAAUAAGUCAUAGAUAGACAGUCCGAUGGAAUAUAGUAAAUAAGUCAUAGAUAGACAGUCCGAUGUCACGCGCUGACACUUUUAAUAAUAGUGCCCUCCUCUAGGGCUACUGUGAAGCCUAAAUGAGCUAAGUAAUAUAAAGUACUUACACCAGUGUUUGGCAUAUACAAAUAUUUAAUAAACUUUGUCAUUGCAUCAUCAUUAUUAUUAGAACAGAGUGGAGACUCACCCGUUCUACUGGCAACUGGAGUUUGUUCAAGAAAUACCUGAGUUGGUUCUUUAACUGUCGAGUUCGAUUGUCCAAGUGGAAGGGUGGGAGUCUCAGGGGAGAGCAUGCCAGGCAGAAGAAACAGCACAAGCAGACAUCCGGGGACAUGAACCAGCAGUAAAGCAGGGGUCCAUACAUUUAGAUAGAGUAUGAGUAGAUCAAUGCUCAAAAACUAUCCUAAAACUAAAAGAAGAUUGGAAUAUCAAUCAUACACCACACACCUCCUUGCAGCUCCUUUACAAAAGUCCCUGGGGAACAAGUUGCUUCAGUUCAUGGCAUCAAUACCCAAGGCUCAUUAUUAAAUACUAUUGUAGUGAUGCUUCAAAUUAAAUCUAGAUAUUAUUCACUGCCACAUCUCUUCCCAAACUUAUUAUUUCCAGGAAAACUCUUAAGCAACAAAUUCAGUGAAUUGGUACAACCACCAUGUUUACUGACACUUUCUAGAAGCUCUACCUUCUCAAAUGUUCUUACCGAUAUGACAUUUUUAGUAUAAAAUACCAACACUUAAGGCAAAGGAAAUUCCUACUGUUUG